UCGACCUUACUUGAACAGGAUCUGUUUUGAAGGUUGUACAACUUGGUCUGCAUAUCAAACUCAGACAAGCACACAAAUCUGGAAGAUGAGAUAUGGCUCUCAGGCCAGAGCGCGAAUACUGAGGCCGCUGUGUUUUGCAGUUAGCCUCCCGAUGAACGUCCUGCCUGCUAAUUAACUAGCAUGCAGUGAAGGCCUGGGAGCGUUCUGACAGAUC